GAAGGUAUAGUUCUAGGGUAGAGUGUGUGCCUAGCAUGCAUGACGUCCUGGGUUCAAUCCCCAGUACCUCCA
rnacentral:tRNA from 1 species